CAAAAAGAAGCGGACUAGAGGACCAUGUAGACAACAGGUGCCCUAAAAGAAGAAUCCAAUGUCCCCUCCUUUGUGGAAGGGAAUGUACCAGGAGACAAAUGGGACACCACAUCCUGACAGAAUGCAGGAGAAGGUGGGAGGAAUGCCACAUACCCGGCUGUGGCGCCGUCACCCAGGACCAACUGGAGCACGAGAGGCAGGAGGUCACCACCCACAAUUUCCUGCUGCGUCAGGUCGGGGCACGUGGCGAUGGGGAGCACAUGGUGCAUGGCCCCCUGCACAGCUUGCAG